UUUUGCAAAAAAUAUAUUAUUUAAUACGGUUGAUAUUAUAAAAUGUUAAAAUCCGUUCGUCAUUGGCUAUAGAUGAACAUUUACGUAGCUCAGGGAUUAUCGCACGUAACAUAAUAUAACCAACAUGAAGUGAGUUCGAUUCUCAAUGAAGCAAUAACUAUUUAAUGUUGAUUGUCUAAUAAACAUUAACGGAUAA